rnacentral:rRNA from 1 species
GACAGAGGUCCCGAGCGUUAGGCGGAAUCACUGGGCUUAAAGCGUGUGUAGGCGGAGUGCUAAGUACCUUGUGAAAUCCCACGGCUCAACCGUGGAACUGCUUGGUAUACUGGUUCUCUUGAGCCACCUAGGGGCAACCGGAACAAACGGUGGAGCGGUGAAAUGCGUAGAGAUCGGGAGGAACACCAAAGGCGAAAGCACUCUGCUGGGCCGCGACUGACACUGAGAGACGAAAGCGAGGGGAGCAAAUGGG